GACGAACGCUGGCGGCGUGCCUAAUACAUGCAAGUCGAACGCUUUUUUGUUCACCGGGUGCUUGCACCCACCGAACGAAAAGGAGUGGCGGACGGGUGAGUAACACGUGGGUAACCUGCCCAUUAGAAGGGGAUAACACUUGGAAACAGGUGCUAAUACCGUAUAAUUGCUUUUGUCGCAUGACGGAAGUAUGAAAGACGCUUUCGGGUGUCACUAAUGGAUGGACCCGCGGUGCAUUAGCUAGUUGGUGAGGUAACGGCCCACCAAGGCCAUGAUGCAUAGCCGACCUGAGAGGGUGAUCGGCCACACUGGGACUGAGACACGGCCCAGACUCCUACGGGAGGCAGCAGUAGGGAAUCUUCGGCAAUGGACGCAAGUCUGACCGAGCAACGCCGCGUGAGUGAAGAAGGUUUUCGGAUCGUAAAACUCUGUUGUUAGAGAAGAACAAGUGGGAGAGUAACUGUUCCCGCCUUGACGGUAUCUAACCAGAAAGCCACGGCUAACUACGUGCCAGCA
rnacentral:rRNA from 1 species